rnacentral:misc_RNA from 1 species
ACCAUUGAGACGAUGAUGAACAAUCUUAACCAGAGAACAACCAACUUCCCAUCUGGAUUUUAGUUCACGUCCUUUGAAAUCCCAAACCUUUACAUCUCCAUGGUAUCCUGCACUUAUCAUCAGGGUAUUUGUUGAAUCACAAGCAACUCCAACCACUUCCCCCUCAUGGGCACAGCUUCUUCUUUCUGACACAUCUAGGUAACUGCCUCGGCUGAUCCCUGAUUGAAGAUUGAACCUCUCUAUCCAACCACCUGCUGUCCCUAGUACAGCAAAAUUGCCGCAUGCACUAAUGGCACAGGCCUUAACAGGUGUUGGAUUUUCUGGGCAAGGCUUCAGGAUAUGCUCUCCAAGAACAAAAUUCUGAAGCCUCCAUACAUACGCCUGUGCAGUAUCCAUAUGACAUGUAACCACAUUGCACCAAUCCCGCUCCCUAAUUUCAGCACAAUCAAAUGCAAUAACAGGCUUCAAUUUCAACUCUUCUUCCUUCACUCUCAGUUUCUUGGCGCGCUUAGAUACAUGCCGCUGGGAAAGCUCUCGACUUUGCUGAUCCUGGAUGAUGGAGAAAAGACGGAAGGCACGAUCCUGACCAGCAGAUAGAAUGUGUCUCCCAUUUGCAUAGAACCUUAUGCAAUGGGGAGGAGCACUGUGUCCACUUCGAAAGCGCAAUAGGCGAGGAUCUCCAUCACUUGUGUCAAAAAUCCACAUUUUAAUUGAGUUGUCUGCUGAUGCACUCAUUAACACAGGCUCAUUAGCAAAAAAGUGCAAUGAAAUUAUUGAAUUAUCAUGAGCCUCUCUUAUGACUGAUUGGAGCCUUCUUUUCUCAAGAUUCCAUAUGCUAAUGACACCAGAUGAACCUCCAGAUGCUAGAAGGGGUUGUCCAUCAGUACUAAAACACAAGGCAGUUACUGCGCCUCUUGUAGCAUGAGAAAAUGUAACCAACUCUUCAUCACAGCGAAUGUUAUGUACAUGAAUCUUCCCGUCAGCACAGCCAAUUGCAAUAACAUCAAGUGCAGGUGACGAGACACAACUGGUAAUAGAGGAAUUCCAUCCCUUGAACUCGUAAAGCUUUUUCUUAGUGCUGAUGUUCCAAAGCUGUAAAGUACCCUCCUGGCUCCCAAGAACAACCUUGUUUAGAUAAGUAUCUGGGUGCAUUAAGCAGGUGGGUGUAAAUUUAUUGUCUAGCAUGAUGUGUCCAAUUGGUGCAAGAUUUUCCUCAAGUCCUUUAAAACCCCAAAUGAACAUGUUACCAUCAACAUCUACACUUAGGAUGUGAUCACCAAACAGUAACAACAAAUUAACUUUAGCACUAUGCCUACUCCAAGUUGCCACCUGUUGAGUACGCUUAAAAACGGCUAUGUGGUUUCCGUAGGCAGCAAAGGUGAAAUCACGAUAGGAAGCAAAAGCACGAAUCUUUUUAGGAAGCUGUGGACUAACAAGCACCAAAUUCAGCUUGGCACAGUUGUAAACCUGAAAAGCUUUGCCUACGCUCACUGUGACAAAGGUUUCAGUGCCUAGUCGCUGGACGGAGAAGGGUACACUGCUUGUUAUGCAUCCAAUUACUCUGUAGGGUUCAAAUAUCCCCAUAUCUCUACAGAAAACCACCACCACCACCAAUUGAAUGAUGCAACUGUUGUAGUAUGUUGUUCGCGAAACCGAAAGGAGGAAGAGAUGACAAAGGUUGGAUCGCCUGGAAGUGGUGUGAAGGAGGAGAGGCAGGGAUUUGCUUCAGUAGAGCAGGAGGAGAGGCAGGGAAUGAAAGAAAAGGAACUAACACCGGGUUUUAG